AAUGAGAGAAUGACAAAUCAGAUUUUUCCUCCUAAUUUUUAGCUUUUUCCUCAUGAUAAAAUUUAAAUCCAACUAAAAAUAUUAAAAAUAAGGAGAAAAAAUCUGAUUUGUCAUUCUCUCAUU
rfam:Gossypium arboreum cultivar AKA8401 contig_5740_1, whole genome shotgun sequence.